rnacentral:rRNA from 1 species
CUGCGUUCCAUUAGCUAGAUGGUAGGGUAACGGCCUACCAUGGCGACGAUGGAUAGCUGAUCUGAGAGGAUGAUCAGCCACACUGGGAUUGAGAUACGGCCCAGACUCCUACGGGAGGCAGCAGUGAGGAAUAUUGCGCAAUGGGGGCAACCCUGACGCAGCAACGCCGCGUGGGGGAAGAAGCUCUAUGGAGUGUAAACCCCUGUAGGUAGGGAAGAAAUUCAUUGCUUCGCAAGGGGUCAUGUUUGACGGUACCUACAAAGUAAGCUCCGGCUAACUCCGUGCCAGCAGCCGCGGUAAUACGGGGGGAGCAAGCGUUGUCCGGAAUCACUGGGCGUAAAGGGCGUGUAGGCGGUCUGGUAAGUCAGAUGUGAAAUCCCACGGCUUAACCGUGGAAUUGCAUUUGAAACUGCCUGACUUGAGUGCGAGAGAGGGUAGUGGAAUUCCCGGUGUAGCGGUGAAAUGCGUAGAUAUCCGGGAAGAACACCAGUUAGCGAAGGCGGCUACCUGGCUCGUACACUGACGCUGAAGGC